UGUCCGGAUUUAUUGGGCGUAAAGCGAGCGCAGGCGGUUUGAUAAGUCUGAAGUUAAAGGCUGUAGCUCAACCAUAGUUCGCUUUGGAAGCUGUCAAACUUGAGUGCAGAAGGGGAGAGUGGAAUUCCAUGUGUAGCGGUGAAAUGCGUAGAUAUAUGGAGGAACACCGGUGGCGAAAGCGGCUCUCUGGUCUGUAACUGACGCUGAGGCUCGAAAGCGUGGGGAGCGAACAGGAUUAGAUACCCUGGUAGUCCACGCCGUAAACGAUGAGUGCUAGGUGUUGGAUCCUUUCCGGGAUUCAGUGCCGCAGCUAACGCAUUAAGCACUCCGCCUGGGGAGUACGACCGCAAGGUUGAAACUCAAAGGAAUUGACGGGGGCCCGCACAAGCGGUGGAGCAUGUGGUUUAAUUCGAAGCAACGCGAAGAACCUUACCAGGUCUUGACAUCCCGAUGCUAUUUCUAGAGAUAGAAAGUUACUUCGGUACAUCGGUGACAGGUGGUGCAUGGUUGUCGUCAGCUCGUGUCGUGAGAUGUUGGGUUAAGUCCCGCAACGAGCGCAACCCCUAUUGUUAGUUGCCAUCAUUCAGUUGGGCACUCUAGCGAGACUGCCGGUAAUAAACCGGAGGAAGGUGGGGAUGACGUCAAAUCAUCAUGCCCCUUAUGACCUGGGCUACACACGUGCUACAAUGGUUGGUACAACGAGUUGCGAGUCGGUGACGGCGAGCUAAUCUCUUAAAGCCAAUCUCAGUUCGGAUUGUAGGCUGCAACUCGCCUACAUGAAGUCGGAAUCGCUAGUAAUCGCGGAUCAGCACGCCGCGGUGAAUACGUUCCCGGGCCUUGUACACACCGCCCGUCACACCACGAGAGUUUGUAACACCCGAAGUCGGUGAGGUAACCUUUUGGAGCCAGCCGCCUAAGGUGGGACAGAUGAUUGGGGUGAAGUCGUAACAAGGUAGC
rnacentral:rRNA from 1 species